AUUGAACGCUGGCGGCAGGCCUAACACAUGCAAGUCGAGCGGCAGCGGGGAAGUAGCUUGCUACUUUUGCCGGCGAGCGGCGGACGGGUGAGUAAUGCCUGGGGAUCUGCCCAGUCGAGGGGGAUAACUACUGGAAACGGUAGCUAAUACCGCAUACGUCCUACGGGAGAAAGAGGGGGAUCUUCGGACCUCUUGCUAAUAGAUGAGCCUAGGUCGGAUUAGCUAGUUGGUGAGGUAAAGGCUCACCAAGGCGACGAUCUGUAGCUGGUCUGAGAGGAUGGCCAGCCACACUGGAACUGAGACACGGUCCAGACUCCUACGGGAGGCAGCAGUGGGGAAUAUUGGACAAUGGGCGCAAGCCUGAUCCAGCCAUGCCGCGUGUGUGAAGAAGGCCCUCGGGUUGUAAAGCACUUUAAGCGAGGAGGAAGGUCAUCAUACUAAUAUUAUGAUGAAUUGACGUUACUCGCAGAAUAAGCACCGGCUAACUCUGUGCCAGCCGCCGCCGUAACAC
rnacentral:rRNA from 1 species